rnacentral:rRNA from 1 species
AAAGCUUCUUGUUGUAAGAGAAGAACGUGUGUGAGAGUGGAAAGUUCACACAGUGACGGUAACUUACCAGAAAGGGACGGCUAACUACGUGCCAGCAGCCGCGGUAAUACGUAGGUCCCGAGCGUUGUCCGGAUUUAUUGGGCGUGAAGCGAGCGCAGGCGGUUUGAUAAGUCUGAAGUAAAAGGCUGUGGCUUAACCAUAGUAUGCUUUGGAAACUGUCAAGCUUGAGUGCAGAAGGGGAGAGUGGAAUUCCAUGUGUAGCGGUGAAAUGCGUAGAUAUAUGGAGGAACACCGGUGGCGAAAGCGGCUCUCUGGUCUGUAACUGACGCUGAGGCUCGAAAGCGUGGGGAGCAAACAGGAUUAGAUACCCUGGUAGUCCACGCCGUAAACGAUGAGUGCUAGGUGUUGGGUCCUUUCCGGGACUCAGUGCCGUAGCUAACGCAUAAGCAC